GACGAACGCUGGCGGCGUGCCUAAUACAUGCAAGUAGAACGCCGAAGGAGGAGCUUGCUCUUCUGGAUGAGUUGCGAACGGGUGAGUAACGCGUAGGUAACCUGCCUGGUAGCGGGGGAUAACUAUUGGAAACGAUAGCUAAUACCGCAUAAGAGUAGAUGUUGCAUGACAUUUGCUUAAAAGGUGCAAUUGCAUCACUACCAGAUGGACCUGCGUUGUAUUAGCUAGUUGGUGGGGUAACGGCUCACCAAGGCGACGAUACAUAGCCGACCUGAGAGGGUGAUCGGCCACACUGGGACUGAGACACGGCCCAGACUCCUACGGGAGGCAGCAGUAGGGAAUCUUCGGCAAUGGACGGAAGUCUGACCGAGCAACGCCGCGUGAGUGAAGAAGGUUUUCGGAUCGUAAAGCUCUGUUGUAAGAGAAGAACGAGUGUGAGAGUGGAAAGUUCACACUGUGACGGUAUCUUACCAGAAAGGGACGGCUAACUACGUG
rnacentral:rRNA from 1 species